AUGUCUUUCAUCUUUGAGUGAAUCUACAAUGGCUUCAGCUUUGUGAUCUAGUUUCUAGGACUCUAGAAGAAAUAUAGAAAACUUGUAUUCAUGGGUUUGGACAAUGCAGGCAAAACCACUCUUCUUCACAUGCUCAAAGGUGACAGAUUGGGCCAACACAUUCCAGCACUACAUCUGACAUCACAAGAGCUAACAAUUGCUGGAAUGACUUUUACAACUUUUAAUCUUGGUGGGCACGAGCAAGCACAUCGGUUUGGAAAAAUUAUCUCCCAGCAAUUAAUGGGAUUUUCUUUCUGGUGGAUUGUGUGGAUCAUUCUUGCCUCGUGGAAUUCAAAUUUGAGCUUAAAGCUUUAAUGACUGAUGAAACAGUAUACAAUGUGCCAAUUCGUAUUUUGGGAAACAAAAUUGACAGAACAGAUGAACUCAAGGAAGAAAAACUCUGUGAGAUAUCUGGGCUUUAUGGACAAACCACAGGAAAGGGGAAUGUGACCCUGAAGAAGUUGAAUGCUUGCCCCAUAGAAGUGUUUGUGUGCAGUGUGCUCAAGAGGCAAGAUUAUGGUGAGGGUUUCCACUGAUUCUCCCAGUAUAUUG
rnacentral:lncRNA from 1 species